UACGUAGGGUGCAAGCGUUAAUCGGAAUUACUGGGCGUAAAGCGAGCGCAGGCGGUUUUGUAAGUCAGAUGUGAAAGCCCCGGGCUCAACCUGGGAACUGCGUUUGAAACUACAAGGCUAGAGUAUGGGAGAGGGGGGUAGAAUUCCACGUGUAGCAGUGAAAUGCGUAGAGAUGUGGAGGAAUACCAAUGGCGAAGGCAGCCCCCUGGCCUAAUACUGACGCUCAGGCUCGAAAGCGUGGGGAG
rnacentral:rRNA from 1 species